AGGACGAACGCUGGCGGCGUGCUUAACACAUGCAAGUGGAGCGACGAACCAGGGCUUGCCCUGGGGCAGAGCCGCGAACGGGUGAGUAACACGUGGGUUACCUACCCCGAUGACCGGGACAACCCGAGGAAACUCGGGCUAAUACCGGAUGUGGUCCUCGGACUAAAGGAAGCUUCGGCCUCCGCAUCGGGAUGGGCCCGCGGCGCAUUAGCUUGUUGGUGGGGUAACGGCCUACCAAGGCGACGACGGGUAG
rnacentral:rRNA from 1 species